CAAGGUUCAUAGAUAGGGGUUAGGUUAUCUCAUAACUAUGUGGGCGGAAGCGAGAGGGAGGGGAAUGCCUACGUCACUCGUACGACAAAGUCAAGUUUGACAGUUGUUUGUGGUUAUAUUUCCGUAUAUUUUUGUGGAAUUUUCUUAUAAUAUCGUUUAUUUGUUUAAUAUUUGUUGAGUUUUUAAGCAUAUAAGGACAAUAUUACUAUAAUUACUUAUUUGGGUCCUAUACAAAGGCAGUAAUGACUUGUGAAGUGUGUUUUCGUAACCGUGUAAAAUGAGUGGUGGUAACAUUUGUAGCAUAGCUAUAUGUAAAAGCAACUCCAAAAUUCCUGAACCAGAUGGAAACAAAAUAAUGUUUUUGGACAUUUCCCAAAUACCUUAACAUUAUCAAACAAUAAUGGAUAAUAAAAUGUUACAAGAUAAAUGGGCCUCUAAACAUAAGAAAAUAGGUAGCAAACAUUUCCUCGUGUCUGAAUAUGUUAAUAUUAUGUUACGUCUUUUUUAUAUUUUAACCUAAUAAUAAAUUAUUUAUAUUA